GAUGAACGCUGGCGGCGUGCCUAAUACAUGCAAGUCGAGCGAACAGACGAGGAGCUUGCUCCUCUGACGUUAGCGGCGGACGGGUGAGUAACACGUGGAUAACCUACCUAUAAGACUGGGAUAACUUCGGGAAACCGGAGCUAAUACCGGAUAAUAUAUUGAACCGCAUGGUUCAAUAGUGAAAGACGGUUUUGCUGUCACUUAUAGAUGGAUCCGCGCCGCAUUAGCUAGUUGGUAAGGUAACGGCUUACCAAGGCAACGAUGCGUAGCCGACCUGAGAGGGUGAUCGGCCACACUGGAACUGAGACACGGUCCAGACUCCUACGGGAGGCAGCAGUAGGGAAUCUUCCGCAAUGGGCGAAAGCCUGGCGGAGCAACGCCGCGUGAGUGAUGAAGGUCUUCGGAUCGUAAAACUCUGUUAUUAGGGAAGAACAAAUGUGUAAGUAACUAUGCACGUCUUAACGGUACCUAAUCAGAAAGCCACGGCUAACUACGUG
rnacentral:rRNA from 1 species